rnacentral:misc_RNA from 1 species
GAUGAAGAACGCAGCGAGAUGCGAUAAGUAAUGUGAAUUGCAGAAUUCAGUGAAUCAUCGAAUCUUUGAACGCACAUUGCGCCCGCCAGUAUUCUGGCGGGCAUGCCUGUUCGAGCGUCAUUACAACCCUCAGGCCCCCGGGCCUGGCGUUGGGGAUCGGCGGAGCCCCCCGUGGGCACACGCCGUCCCCCAAAUGCAGUGGCGGUCCCGCCGCAGCUUCCAUCGCGUAGUAGCUAACACCUCGCGACUGGAGAGCGGCGCGGCCACGCCGUAAAACACCCAACUCUUCUGAAGUUGACCUCGAAUCAGGUAGGAAUACCCGCUGAACUUAAGCAUAUCAAUAAGCGGAGGA